GAUGAACGCUGGCGGCGUGCCUAAUACAUGCAAGUCGAGCGAACAGACGAGGAGCUUGCUCCUCUGACGUUAGCGGCGGACGGGUGAGUAACACGUGGAUAACCUACCUAUAAGACUGGGAUAACUUCGGGAAACCGGAGCUAAUACCGGAUAAUAUAUUGAACCGCAUGGUUCAAUAGUGAAAGACGGUUUUGCUGUCACUCAUAGAUGGAUCCGCGCCGCAUUAGCUAGUUGGUAAGGUAACGGCUUACCAAGGCGACGAUGCGUAGCCGACCUGAGAGGGUGAUCGGCCACACUGGAACUGAGACACGGUCCAGACUCCUACGGGAGGCAGCAGUAGGGAAUCUUCCGCAAUGGGCGAAAGCCUGACGGAACAACGCCGCGUGAGUGAUGAAGGUCUUCGGAUCGUAAAACUCUGUUAUUAGGGAAGAACAAAUGUGUAAGUAACUAUGCACGCCUUGACGGUACCUAAUCAGAAAGCCACGGCUAACUACGUG
rnacentral:rRNA from 1 species